UGGGGAAUAUUGCGCAAUGGGGGAAACCCUGACGCAGCAACGCCGCGUGCGGGAUGAAGGCCUUCGGGUUGUAAACCGCUUUCAGCAGGGAAGACGCAGACGGUACCUGCAGAAGAAGCCCCGGCUAACUACGUGCCAGCAGCCGCGGUAAUACGUAGGGGGCGAGCGUUAUCCGGAUUCAUUGGGCGUAAAGCGCGCGCAGGCGGACCGUUAAGCGGGACCUCUAAUCCUGGGGCUCAACCUCAGGCCGGGUCCCGAACUGGCGGUCUCGAGUGCGGUAGGGGAGGUCGGAAUUCCCGGUGUAGCGGUGGAAUGCGCAGAUAUCGGGAAGAACACCGAUGGCGAAGGCAGACCUCUGGGCCGACACUGACGCUGAGGCGCGAAAGCUAGGGGAGCGAACAGG
rnacentral:rRNA from 1 species